rnacentral:rRNA from 1 species
GUAGGUGGCAAGCGUUGUCCGGAUUUAUUGGGCGUAAAGGGCGCGCAGGCGGUUCGUUAAGUCCGAGGUGAAAUCUCCCGGCUCAACUGGGAGAGGUCUUCGGAUACUGGCGGACUGGAGGUGAGCAGAGGUGAGUGGAAUUCUCGGUGUAGUGGUGAAAUGCGUAGAUAUCGAGAGGAACACCAGUGGCGAAGGCGGCUCACUGGGCUCUACCUGACGCUGAGGCGCGAAAGCGUGGGGAGCGAACCGGAUUAGAUACCCGGGUAGUCCACGCUGUAAACGAUGGACACUAGGUGUGGGGGGUAUUGACCCCUUCCGUGCCGAAGCCAACGCAAUAAGUGUCCCGCCUGGGGAGUACGGCCGCAAGGCUA